rnacentral:rRNA from 1 species
ACGGGAGGCAGCAGUAGGGAAUAUUGCACAAUGGGGGGAACCCUGAUGCAGCAACGCCACGUGUGGGAAGAAGCAUUUCGGUGUGUAAACCACUGUUGUGAGGGAAUAAUGCUUGGCUCCGGCCAAGUUGAAUAUACCUCGAAAGGAAGCACCGGCAAACUUCGUGCCAGCAGCCGCGGUAAUACGAGGGGUGCAAGCGUUGUUCGGAAUCACUGGGCGUAAAGGGAGCGUAGGCGGAGACGCAAGCAGUCUGUACAAUACCGGGGCCCAACCCCGGACCUGCAGACUGGACUGUGUCUCUUGGAUAGUUCAGGGGCAGGCGGAAUUCCUGGUGUAGCGGUGGAAUGCGUAGAGAUCAGGAAGAACACCGAUGGCGAAGGCAGCCUGCUGGGGACUCAUCGACGCUGAGGCUCGAAAGUGCGGGUAGCAAACAGGAUUAGAUACCCUGGUA